UACGUAGGGUGCGAGCGUUAAUCGGAAUUACUGGGCGUAAAGCGUGCGCAGGCGGUUCGUUGUGUCUGAUGUGAAAGCCCCGGGCUCAACUUGGGAAUGGCAUUGGAAACUGGCGAGCUAGAGUGCGGUAGAGGGUAGUGGAAUUCCCGGUGUAGCGGUGAAAUGCGUAGAGAUCGGGAGGAACACCAGUGGCGAAGGCGGCUACCUGGACCAGCACUGACACUGAGGCACGAAAGCGUGGGGAGCAAACAGG
rnacentral:rRNA from 1 species